ensembl:snRNA U7 U7 small nuclear RNA
CAGUGCUUACAGCUCCUUUUGAAUUUGUCCAGCAGGUCUUCUGGCUUGUCCCAGAAGGCCCUC